AGAGUUUGAUCAUGGCUCAGAACGAACGCUGGCGGCGUGCCUAACACAUGCAAGUCGUGCGAGAAAGUCACUUCGGUGGCGAGUAAAGCGGCGCACGGGUGAGUAACACGUGGGUAACCUGCCCUUGAGUCUGGGAUAACCCGGGGAAACUCGGGCUAAUACCGGAUACGGCCGUGAGGUCCUCGGACCUUGCGGAGAAAGACGGCGCUCCUUCGGGAGCUUUCACUCGAGGAUGGGCCUGCGUCCCAUUAGCUAGUUGGUGAGGUAACGGCCCACCAAGGCAAAGAUGGGUAGCUGGUCUGAGAGGAUGGCCAGCCACACUGGAACUGAGACACGGUCCAGACUCCUACGGGAGGCAGCAGUGGGGAAUUUUGGGCAAUGGGCGAAAGCCUGACCCAGCAACGCCGCGUGUGGGAUGAAGGCCCUCGGGUCGUAAACCACUGUCAGGAGGAAAGAAUGGCCGGCCGGAUAAUACUCGGUCGGUUUGACGGUACCUCCAAAGGAAGCGCGGCUAACUCCGUGCCAGCAGCCGCGGUA
rnacentral:rRNA from 1 species